rnacentral:rRNA from 1 species
AAAUUGAAGAGUUUGAUCAUGGCUCAGAUUGAACGCUGGCGGCAGGCCUAACACAUGCAAGUCGAACGGUAACAGAAAGCAGCUUGCUGCUUUGCUGACGAGUGGCGGACGGGUGAGUAAUGUCUGGGAAACUGCCUGAUGGAGGGGGAUAACUACUGGAAACGGUAGCUAAUACCGCAUAACGUCGCAAGACCAAAGAGGGGGACCUUAGGGCCUCUUGCCAUCGGAUGUGCCCAGAUGGGAUUAGCUAGUA